GUUCUACUCCCUCCGUUCGGAAUUACUUGUCUCGAAAAUGGAUGUAUCUAGAACUAAAAUACAUCUAGAUACAUCUAUUUUCGAGACAAGUAAUUCCGAACGGAGGGAGUACUUG
rnacentral:pre_miRNA from 1 species